UAUUAAUUUAUCGUCACAGGUCAUUUACCAGUUGCCUAAUUACGAAAAGUUUCAUAUGACAUUAACCUCAAAAAUGAUCUUUGAAAACAAACAACAACAAACAGAGCAACAAUGAACAAAUAACUACAUAAUGACUGAUAAUGAUAAGUGAUAAUAAUAACUUUAAUUAUAUGAAGGCUGAUGAAGUUUUAGACAACCAAUACAAGAUUUAGAACUUGACAUCGUGAUAAACAAAUUGUACAUUCAGGAACUCGUUUAAAUAUUAUAGGUUGAUUGACGAAUACUC